UGGCCCGCCAGCCAGCUGGUCUGAUUCAAACCACAUAUCUGUUGUUUACGCAGGAUAUUAUCACUUUUCCAUGCUACGAUGAAUAGCUGGUGUUUUGCCGUAACUUUGUCUGUUUUAUUACUUCAUUCUAUUUGUUUUUGUAUUACACCAGGCUUUACACCAGGCCAAUCUGGUUUUGAAAUGGACAAAGUUUCAAGUUACUGGUGAAUGCAUGGGUGAAAUAAUCACUAGGUACUCUGUAUCUAUGUUAUCUAGCGGAUUAAAGGAGUCAGAAAUGGGGGACGAGCUACGCGGGAAAUAUACCACAUGGACACGCCAAAAGUUUAAUUCUCCCCUUCUGGAAAAUGUUUGUGUGCAUGAACUCCCAUGCGUGGCGGUGACAUUUCGUCUCUUGAUCGCUUUGGACUCUUCCUGUUUCGGGUUAAAGGGUAGGGUAGGAGACAAGUUUUUCCUCUUCUUCUGCUUCGGGCGCGGACCGCUGAAGCAAAGAUCAAGCAAG
rnacentral:sRNA from 2 species